UACGAGGGGGGCAAGCGUUGUUCGGAAUUAUUGGGCGUAAAGGGCGCGUAGGCGGUGCGGUAAGUCACCUGUGAAACCUCUAGGCUUAACCUAGAGCCUGCAGGCGAAACUGCCGUGCUUGAGGGUGGGAGAGGUGCGUCGGAAUUCCGGUGUAGCGGUGAAAUGCGUAGAGAUCGGGAAGAACACCAACGGCGAAGCACUCUGCUGGGCCGAAACUGACACUGAGAGACGAAAGCUAGGGGAGCAAAUGGG
rnacentral:rRNA from 1 species